rnacentral:snRNA from 1 species
UUUUUCUGUGAAGCUUUGGUAAUAAAUGUACUAAACUUGAAAUAGGGAAGAUUAGCAUGGCCCGGGGCAAGGAUGAUGCAAAUUCACGAAGCAUUCCAAGUUUUU